rnacentral:lncRNA from 1 species
UGAUUAGGAAACUUAAGCUGUUUCUGGCAUUAUUAACUUUUGUUGGGCUUCUUGUUAUAGUUUUGAUGCAGAAAAUUACGAAAUAAUUAAGCUUGUCUAUGAGAAAAAGUAAAAAAAAUGCAGAGACAGUAAGGAAUCACACACUAGGAACACUUCUUUUCACAAACAAAACAUUCAUAAUUUAUGCAGAUGAAAAUUGAAGAGAAUUUGGUGCUUAGUUUCUCAGGAAACUUUUGUCUUAAGGAUCUCUAACUGUAAAGAGACAGAGACAGAGAGAGAGAGAGAGAGAGAGAGAGGAGAUUAUCAAUCUCUAAGUUCUAAGGUUGUUUGAUCUAACUCAACUAUGUCAAGCUUACAAUAAAGUUCUUUCUUUGGUGCAUCUGGUUCUCAUUUGCUGGAAGACAAGUCACUGGGAACUGCCAUGGACAAAGAACAAUCUUUCCAUGACUGCUUCAUGGGAAACAAAACAUUCUUCUGUUGAGGACAGCCUGCGGAGCAUACACCUUUUGUCUUGUGCAGUGCACAGUUACAGUUGCGAUGAUAUGGCCUUCGCUCAGUCUCCAUAUCACGCAUAGAUAAACAUGCAUCAAACACACAAGAUAGCAUUAAGUCAGCUGCUCUCAUGGCCAUUUUAGCUCUCUCUUCUAUGUUCAGCUUGAAGGUCUAAAUAUGAGAUUUUGAAACUCUCUUGUGUGAGCAAGCAUUGAUGGUAGGAGUAUAUAUAUAGAGAGAACGCAAACUGCUUUAAUGUCUGCAGAGAAACCUUGUUUUGGUGUUUUUGCAAAAGUAGUAAUAAGAUGAACGCUUAUUCCUAUGUUUGUUUCUCCA